rnacentral:rRNA from 1 species
UACAGAGGUCCCGAGCGUUGUUCGGAUUCACUGGGCGUAAAGGGUGCGUAGGUGGUGAGGUAAGUCGGAUGUGAAAUCUCCGGGCUCAACCCGGAAAUGGCAUUGGAAACUACCUUGCUGGAGGAUUUGAGGGGGGAUUGGAAUACUUGGUGUAGCAGUGAAAUGCGUAGAUAUCAAGUGGAACACCAGUGGCGAAGGCGAAUCCCUGGAAAAUACCUGAACACUGAGGCACGAAAGCUAGGGGAGCAAACAGG